rnacentral:SRP_RNA from 1 species
AGCCGGGUCCCGUGCAACGGAGGGUUGUGAAUCCCGUCAGGUCCGGAAGGAAGCAGCGGCAGCAACUCCGACGUGUGCCGCGGGUAACCUGGCUAUC